AGAGUUUGAUCCUGGCUCAGGACGAACGCUGGCGGCGCGCCUAACACAUGCAAGUCGAACGAGAGAGAGGGAGCUUGCUUCCUCAAUCGAGUGGCGAACGGGUGAGUAACGCGUGAGGAACCUGCCUCAAAGAGGGGGACAACAGUUGGAAACGACUGCUAAUACCGCAUAAGCCCACGGCUCGGCAUCGAGCAGAGGGAAAAGGAGCAAUCCGCUUUGAGAUGGCCUCGCGUCCGAUUAGCUAGUUGGUGAGGUAACGGCCCACCAAGGCAACGAUCGGUAGCCGGACUGAGAGGUUGAACGGCCACAUUGGGACUGAGACACGGCCCAGACUCCUACGGGAGGCAGCAGUGGGGAAUAUUGCACAAUGGGGGAAACCCUGAUGCAGCGACGCCGCGUGGAGGAAGAAGGUCUUCGGAUUGUAAACUCCUGUUGUUGAGGAAGAUAAUGACGGUACUCAACAAGGAAGUGACGGCUAACUACGUGCCAGCAGCCGCGGUAAAACGUAGGUCACAAGCGUUGUCCGGAAUUACUGGGUGUAAAGGGAGCGCAGGCGGGAAGACAAGUUGGAAGUGAAAUCUAUGGGCUCAACCCAUAAACUGCUUUCAAAACUGUUUUUCUUGAGUAGUGCAGAGGUAGGCGGAAUUCCCGGUGUAGCGGUGGAAUGCGUAGAUAUCGGGAGGAACACCAGUGGCGAAGGCGGCCUACUGGGCACCAACUGACGCUGAGGCUCGAAAGUGUGGGUAGCAAACAGGAUUAGAUACCCUGGUAGUCCACACCGUAAACGAUGAUUACUAGGUGUUGGAGGAUUGACCCCUUCAGUGCCGCAGUUAACACAAUAAGUAAUCCACCUGGGGAGUACGACCGCAAGGUUGAAACUCAAAGGAAUUGACGGGGGCCCGCACAAGCAGUGGAGUAUGUGGUUUAAUUCGACGCAACGCGAAGAACCUUACCAAGUCUUGACAUCCCUUGACGAACAUAGAAAUAUGUUUUCUCUUCGGAGCAAGGAGACAGGUGGUGCAUGGUUGUCGUCAGCUCGUGUCGUGAGAUGUUGGGUUAAGUC
rnacentral:rRNA from 1 species